ACGGUGAUCUCGAAGCUUGCUUCGGGUGAGCAGUGGCGAACGGGUGAGUAACACGUGAGUAACCUGCCCCUGACUCUGGAAUAAGCGCUGGAAACGGCGUCUAAUACCGGAUAUGACACUAAACCGCAUGGUUAUGGUGUGGAAAGUUUUUCGGUCUGGGAUGGACUCGCGGCCUAUCAGCUUGUUGGUGAGGUAAUGGCUCACCAAGGCGAUGACGGGUAGCCGGCCUGAGAGGGCGAUCGGCCACACUGGGACUGAGACACGGCCCAGACUCCUACGGGAGGCAGCAGUGGGGAAUAUUGCACAAUGGGCGCAAGCCUGAUGCAGCGACGCCGCGUGAGGGAUGACGGCCUUCGGGUUGUAAACCUCUUUCAGCAGGGAAGAAGCGAAAGUGACGGUACCUGCAGAAGAAGCACCGGCUAACUACGUGCCAGCAGCCGCGGUAAUACGUAGGGUGCGAGCGUUGUCCGGAAUUAUUGGGCGUAAAGAGCUUGUAGGCGGUUUGUCGCGUCUGCCGUGAAAAUCCGGGGCUCAACCCCGGACUUGCGGUGGGUACGGGCAGACUAGAGUGUGGUAGGGGAGACUGGAAUUCCUGGUGUAGCGGUGAAAUGCGCAGAUAUCAGGAGGAACACCGAUGGCGAAGGCAGGUCUCUGGGCCACUACUGACGCUGAGAAGCGAAAGCAUGGGGAGCGAACAGGAUUAGAUACCCCUGGUAGUCCAUGCCGUAAACGUUGGGAACUAGGUGUGGGGUCUCAUUCCACGAGAUCCGUGCCGCAGCUAACGCAUUAA
rnacentral:rRNA from 1 species